CAGCCACACUGACAGUAGCAUCUCCGCUCUGUCGCCCUGCGCCUGUCAGCAGUCACUGGGAACCGGCCGGGACUCCGCCAGCUUGACUUCAUUAACAGUCCGGUGCUGACCGCUCGCGCGUGUUGACCAGCCAUAUCGCCAAACGGUCGGGCAGAGUUUGGUGACCUACUUCGAGGCAAAAGUUCCCGCCUCACAAACAAUUUGGCGAAGUUGCUGUGGAUCGGUGUGCAUUUUUGAGAGUUUAAUACGUUUUGCAGCUGGUACUCGCGGAGGAGAGCGCAUGGACACCGGACACCUUGAGGGAAGAGUUAGGGAGACUCUGUGACCGACCUGUGAGAGGUGUGAUGUGACCUGAGUGUGGAGGCUGCAGUCCAAUCAAGUAUGGAGCAUGAUCUGAGGAUGGGCCUGUCUGUCUGGGCCAUUAUAGCCAUCACUUGUAACUCAGUGGUGGGCGUCCUCAUCCUCAUCCUCUUCGUCAUCCUCUACAAGGCCUGCAAGGUGCCUUCACACCAAGAGAAACUGCCAGUUUUCAAAGCGUUGCCGGAGCAGAAGAAGGCUGAACAGAAGUACCUGCUGACUGCAACCUGAUCAUGGCAGACAGACUCGGGAUGUGGACAUAUUUCAACUUUGUUUAUCCAGUAGAGUCCAAAAGAUGAGUCAUGGAGUGUUAGAAUACCAGCUGGACUCUGAACUUUGAGUAACCUUCAGUAUUUCUCUUCCUCUUCAACUGCUCAUGUCAUUAUUUUCACUCAGUAACUCCUACAUGAUCACAUUUCUCCGCCAUCAGCCCCUCAUCUACGCCAUUCAGCGCAGCUCAGCGUGAGCUAACUGCAUUAAGAGUUGUGGCAAGGCCAACAACAACAACAAGCCGACCCAAUCCUCUUAUCUCUGCUGUGCUUCGCUGGGACUGUCCAUCUGUCAGUCUGUUUGCUUUGCUCUACACAGGCAAACCAUGAUCUCCUCCUCUACUCCAUCAUUUUUCAUCCCUCAGUAUGACUCAACAGAGAGUAUGUGGGGGAGAAACUGUAAAGACACAAUGGAUUGUAAAGGGACAGUUUUGGGUGAUGGGGUUGGUUGAGUCACGAUGACAUGUUAGAGGUAAGGAGAGAAAGUAGCCCACAAACAGCUCGGUGUUUGCCAGCUGCGGCACUAAUGACGGCAACGGCAGAGCUGCCAAAACCAAAAAAGCCUGAAAGAAUCAGGAGAGGAGAGAGAUGCUGCCAGAGAAAGUGUUUGAGAGUCACAACAGGGCGGAGAGGGAGACAGACGGAGAUAAAGGAGUCAUAUUUGGUGGGGAUGAUAAAGUGCAGGCGAAGAAUCAGAGAGCAUUUGAUGCUUUGAUGUGUUGUUUACAGGGAGGGAGCUCCAGGCCCCUGUUUGACAGUCUCCCUGUUUGACACACAAGUCUCCGCUUCCACCGAUCUGACUCCCGUGGGAUUAAAAGCAGCAGCAAAAACGUUACUCCUGUCCCCAGUGUGCCUCGCUUUCAUUUCAUGAGUUCCUCUAAAGACUGAAUAAGAUAUUUAUAGACAGCCUUCACCAGAAAGGACAGACUGACUGAAGAUUCACAGUCUCACGGUAACGAGUGAAUAAUGUAUUUACCGGGGUGUACGUACUGCAGCUUACACACUAACUGUGUGAUAUCAAUACUGUCUAAAGGAAGAGAGGAAAUGUGACAAGCCGAUGAUAAGUCUAUCUCCAGAGUAAAAAGUGCUGCAUAGCUCCACUUGUUUUUGUCUGGUACGGUAAAUACAAUGUUGAUUAUUGAAAGGGCUUUUCAUGGAAACGUGCUUUUAUUUUGUGCUGGAGAGACAAAAAUCUAAUCUCAGGUAUGAGUUGACUUACUAAAAUAAGAAUAUGCUGAUUUUACUUUCAUGCAGCAUUUUCUAUUCUACGUAUUGAUCUUUCUGCGCAGCUCACAUGUAAGACUGAACAGUAAUUUGUGCUCAAAGAACUCAUUUGGUAUCUGAUAAUUACUCCGAAUUGAGCUUCAGGCACUUCUUUUUUAAGCUCUUAAGGACUCACUGAAGACUGUGAAAGCUUGCACUGGUCAUUUGUCGAUUUGUUUUAUCUCUAUGGAUUAAAUGAUCAAAGAUUAAUCAACAGAAUAACUGAUCUUGAAAGUAUGUGUUGCAGCCCCACACUUUACAGACUAGCUAUUGUUUCACUGUGGUUAUUGCCAUCUUGCUCUAUGCCUUGUGUUACUGAUGACAGUUCAUUUUUGACUGGCACAAUAAAAUGAUUUACUCUUGUUUAUAACCAAUGUGGUGCACAGUCAUUGUUUCCAUGUUUCCAAAUUCUUUAAACAUGAGUGCUUGAAUAAAAAAUGAUAAUUGA